rnacentral:rRNA from 1 species
GUCCUAGAGUGGGCGAGAAGUAUGCGGAAUGCGUGGUGUAGCGGUGAAAUGCAUAGAUAUCACGCAGAACUCCGAUUGCGAAGGCAGCAUACCGGCGCCCAACUGACGCUCAUGCACGAAAGCGUGGGUAUCGAACAGGAUUAGAUACCCUGGUAGUCCACGCAGUAAACGAUGAAUACUAACUGUCCGGUCCGAAUGAGGACUGGGUGGUACAGCGAAAGCGUUAAGUAUUCCACCUGGGGAGUACGCCGGCAACGGUGAAACUCAAAGGAAUUGACGGGGGCCCGCACAAGCGGAGGAACAUGUGGUUUAAUUCGAUGAUACGCGAGGAACCUUACCCGGGCUCAAACGACACAGGAAUACUUUUGAAAGGAGGUAGCUCUACGGAGCCUGUGUCGAGGUGCUGCAUGGUUGUCGUCAGCUCGUGCCGUGAGGUGUCGGCUUAAGUGCCAUAACGAGCGCAACCCCCAUCGCCAGUUACCAUCAAGUAAAGUUGGGGACUCUGGCGAGACUGCCGGCGCAAGCUGUGAGGAAGGCGGGGAUGACGUCAAAUCAGCACGGCCCUUACGUCCGGGGCGACACACGUGUUACAAUGGCAGGUACAGAGAGAAGCGACAUGGCGACAUGAAGCGGAACUGUCAAAACCUGUCUCAGUUCGGAUUGGAGUCUGCAACCCGACUCCAUGAAGCUGGAUUCGCUAGUAAUCGCGCAUCAGCCACGGCGCGGUGAAUACGUUCCCGGGCCUUGCACUCACCGCCCGUCAAG